rnacentral:lncRNA from 1 species
GAGACAGAUUUGAAUGUUUCUUCCUGUCUCCGUGCAGUCGACUUGCAAUAAAGCUUUUAUUUUCUGAAAAGCUGGUGCCAUGUAUUGGCCUGUAUGUGCAUUGGGCAGGGAACACAUUGAUUGCAUAGACAGCAAAAAGACUGUCCUUUCUCCGUUGAAUUGCCUGUGAGCUUUUGUCAAAGAUCAAUUGAUUAUAUUGGUGUGGAUUUAUUUCUGGACUUUCUGUUCUGUUGAUCUGUGUGUCUUCUUUUGCCAAUACUGUCUUGGUUAUUGCAGAUUUCCAGAACGUCUUGAUAUUGGGUAGUGACAGUCCUCCAACUUGGUUCUUCUUUGAUAUUUUGUAGGCUAUUCUCAGUCUUUGUCUUUCUGUAUCAAUUUUAGGAUCAGUUUGUCAAUAUCUACAACCUGGCAACAUCUAUUAAAAUUAAAAAUAUAGGCCGGGCACGGUGGCUCACGCCUGUAAUCCCAGCACUUUGGGAGGCUGAGGCAGGCAGAUCACGAGGUCAAGAGAGCAAGAUCAUCUUGGCCAACAUGAUGAAACCCCAUCUCCACUAAAAAUACAAAAAUUAGCUGGGCGUGGUGCCACGCGCCUGUAGUCCCAGCUACUCGGGAGGCUGAGGCAGAGAACUGCUUGAACCUGGGAGGAGGAGGUUGCAGUGAGCCAAUAUUGCACCACUGCACUCCAGCCUGGUGACAGAGCGAGACUCGGUCUCAAAAAAAAAAAAAAAAAAAAAAAAAAAUAUAUAUAUAUAUAUAUAUAUAUAUAUAUAUAUAGAGAGAGAGAGAGAGAGAGAGAGAGAGAGAGAGAAAGAGAGAGAGAGAGAGAGAUCCUUCACCCAGCAACCUCAUUGCUAGAAAUCUUUCCCUUGGAAAGAAAAUCGUCAGCACGUAUGGGCAUAGGUAUAAAAAUUAAUUUUUGUAGAGACAGGGCCUCGCUCUAAUGCCCAGGCUGGAGUGCAGUGGCGUGAUCAUGGCUCACUGCAGCCUCAACCUCCCAGGCUCAAGUGAUUCUCUCACCUCAGACUUCCAAGUAGUUGGGACUACAGAUGCCAUCAUGUUCGGCUAGUUUUUAAAAAUUUUUUUGUAAAGACAGGAGUCUCAUUACAUUGUCCAGGCUAGUCUUGAACUGGUCUGAAGCGAUCCUCCUGCCUUUGGCCUCCGAAAGUGCUGGGAUUACAGGUGAGAGCCACUGCACCCAGCCAAAAAAUUCUUGUUGCAGCAUUUUUUGCUUACUUUUUGGUAGUGGUGGGGAAUAAAACCUGUUAACCAAGUGAAAACUCAUCAGUGGGGAUGUGGUUGAAUAAAUGAAGGUUCAUCCACACCAUAGAUGAUUAUCAAGCAAUUAAAAAGAAUGAAUUCAGAUUUUAGUAGGUGGUCUAAGAAGUUUCCAGAAAGUCCUGUGAAUAAAAAAGUAUGUUCAAUAUGAUUCCAUAUUUAUGAAACAAUGACCCCAUCCUCUCUUUUUGGUCUAUGUAUUUAUGAAUAUCUACCUUCGUUUAAUGAACAAAGAGAACAACCUGGUAGAUUGUUAACUUGAAGAAUGACCAAAGUAAGAGGAAAUAAGAGAAAAAGAGAGGGUAGUUCAACCCCUGAUGACUGUUGAAAAAAAUAGUAACUUCUUUUUCUAAAUCAGUGCUGUCCAAUAGAAAUAUAAAUGCAAGGUCAGGCUCAGUGACUCAUGUCCAUAAUCCUAGCACUUUGGGAGGCUGAGGCAGGAGGAUCGCUUGGGCCCAGGAGUUUGAGAUCAGCUGGGACAACAUGAUGAAACCUUGUGUUUACAAAACAUACAAAAGUUAGCCGGGUGUGGUGGCGGCACUUGUAAUCCCACCUACUCGGGAGGCUGAGGUAGGAGGAUUGCUUGAGCCUGGGAGGUUGAGGCUGUAGUGAGCCAUGAUCACACCACUGCAUUCCAGCCUGGGCAACAGAACGUGAUCUUGCCUAAUAAAAAAGAAAUAAAAUAAAAACUAAUGCAACCGACAUAGACAAUCUUAAC